GACGAACGCUGGCGGCGUGCCUAAUACAUGCAAGUCGAACGAACUCUGGUAUUGAUUGGUGCUUGCAUCAUGAUUUACAUUUGAGUGAGUGGCGAACUGGUGAGUAACACGUGGGAAACCUGCCCAGAAGCGGGGGAUAACACCUGGAAACAGAUGCUAAUACCGCAUAACAACUUGGACCGCAUGGUCCGAGUUUGAAAGAUGGCUUCAGCUAUCACUUUUGGAUGGUCCCGCGGCGUAUUAGCUAGAUGGUGGGGUAACGGCUCACCAUGGCAAUGAUACGUAGCCGACCUGAGAGGGUAAUCGGCCACAUUGGGACUGAGACACGGCCCAAACUCCUACGGGAGGCAGCAGUAGGGAAUCUUCCACAAUGGACGAAAGUCUGAUGGAGCAACGCCGCGUGAGUGAAGAAGGGUUUCGGCUCGUAAAACUCUGUUGUUAAAGAAGAACAUAUCUGAGAGUAACUGUUCAGGUAUUGACGGUAUUUAACCAGAAAGCCACGGCUAACUACGUGCCAGCAGCCGCGGUAAUACGUAGGUGGCAAGCGUUGUCCGGAUUUAUUGGGCGUAAAGCGAGCGCAGGCGGUUUUUUAAGUCUGAUGUGAAAGCCUUCGGCUCAACCGAAGAAGUGCAUCGGAAACUGGGAAACUUGAGUGCAGAAGAGGACAGUGGAACUCCAUGUGUAGCGGUGAAAUGCGUAGAUAUAUGGAAGAACACCAGUGGCGAAGGCGGCUGUCUGGUCUGUAACUGACGCUGAGGCUCGAAAGUAUGGGUAGCAAACAGGAUUAGAUACCCUGGUAGUCCAUACCGUAAACGAUGAAUGCUAAGUGUUGGAGGGUUUCCGCCCUUCAGUGCUGCAGCUAACGCAUUAAGCAUUCCGCCUGGGGAGUACGGCCGCAAGGCUGAAACUCAAAGGAAUUGACGGGGGCCCGCACAAGCGGUGGAGCAUGUGGUUUAAUUCGAAGCUACGCGAAGAACCUUACCAGGUCUUGACAUACUAUGCAAAUCUAAGAGAUUAGACGUUCCCUUCGGGGACAUGGAUACAGGUGGUGCAUGGUUGUCGUCAGCUCGUGUCGUGAGAUGUUGGGUUAAGUCCCGCAACGAGCGCAACCCUUAUUAUCAGUUGCCAGCAUUAAGUUGGGCACUCUGGUGAGACUGCCGGUGACAAACCGGAGGAAGGUGGGGAUGACGUCAAAUCAUCAUGCCCCUUAUGACCUGGGCUACACACGUGCUACAAUGGAUGGUAUAACGAGUUGCGAACUCGCGAGAGUAAGCUAAUCUCUUAAAGCCAUUCUCAGUUCGGAUUGUAGGCUGCAACUCGCCUACAUGAAGUCGGAAUCGCUAGUAAUCGCGGAUCAGCAUGCCGCGGUGAAUACGUUCCCGGGCCUUGUACACACCGCCCGUCACACCAUGAGAGUUUGUAACACCCAAAGUCGGUGGGGUAACCUUUUAGGAACCAGCCGCCUAAGGUGGGACAGAUGAUUAGGGUG
rnacentral:rRNA from 1 species